rnacentral:rRNA from 1 species
UAGGGUGUGACGCCUGCCCGGUGCCGGAAGGUUAAGUGAUGGGGUGCAAGCUCUUGAUCGAAGCCCCGGUAAACGGCGGCCGUAACGAUAACGGUCCUAAGGUAGCGAAAUUCCUUGUCGGGUAAGUUCCGACCUGCACGAAUGGCGUAACGAUGGCCACACUGUCUCCUCCUGAGACUCAGCGAAGUUGAAGUGUUUGUGAAGAUGCAAUCUACCCGCGGCUAGACGGAAAGACCCCAUGAACCUUUACUGUAGCUUUGCAUUGGACUUUGACGGGACUUGUGUAGGAUAGGUGGGAGGCGAUGAGACCGGGACGCUAGUUCCGGUGGAGCCGUCCUUGAAAUACCACCCUGGUGUCGUUGAGGUUCUAACCUAGGUCCAUCAUCUGGAUCGGGGACCGUGCAUGGUAGGCAGUUUGACUGGGGCGGUCUCCUCCCAAAAGGUAACGGAGGAGUACGAAGGUCUUCUAGGUACGGUCGGACAUCGUACUGAUAGUGCAAUGGCAAAAAGAAGGCUUGACUGCGAGACCGACAAGUCGAGCAGGUGCGAAAG